rnacentral:rRNA from 1 species
AAACCUUUGCAAUGUGCGAAAGCACGACAAGGUUAAUCCGAGUGUCUCCUGCUAAAGGAGUCUUUUGUCAGUUGUAGAAUCACUGGUGAAUAAGGGGUGGGCAAGUUCUGGUGUCAGCCGCCGCGGUAAAACCAGCACCUCGAGUGGUCAGGAGGUUUAUUGGGCCUAAAGCAUCCGUAGCCGGUUGCAUAAGUUUUCGGUUAAAUCUAUGCGCUUAACGUAUAGGCCGCCGAAAAUACUGUGCAGCUAGGGAGUGGGAGAGGUACACGGUACUCGAUAGGAAGGGGUAAAAUCCUUUGAUCUAUUGAAGACCACCUCUGGCGAAGGCGGUGUACCAGAACACGUUCGACGGUGAGGGAUGAAAGCUGGGGGAGCAAACCGGGUUAGAUACCCGGGUAGUCCCAGCUGUAAACGAUGCAGACUCGGUGAUGCAUUGGCUUGUGGCCAAUGCAGUGCCGCAGGGAAGCCGUUAAGUCUGCCGCCUGGGAAGUACGUACGCAAGUAUGAAACUUAAAGGAAUUGGCGGGGGAGCACCACAAGGGGUGAAGCGUGCGGUCAAUUGGAGUCAACG